AUUUAGGACUGGUUCUGAUGGCUUAGUUACACACUGCCUGCUCUGAGUUUACAUUUAGUGAGUUUGAUGCUUCCAUGGACAGCUCUUGUAAGAUAACAUCCUGUGCCUCAAUCUAAAUCUGCUCUGAUUAAUUUCUAUUCAGAAUGUGUGAAGUUUGGACAAAUACCUUGAUGCAGAAGACAUCACAUGGAGCUUUUAAUAGCACAAAAGGGAGGAUACUGCCUGCCCUGCAACCUGGCCAGGAAACUGCAGGAGCAGAUGGCAAAGAGAAUUAUUAAGGAUCCUGAAUACACAACAUAUACCAUUGUCAUCAUGAAAGGAUGCUACCCACUAUCAUGAGGCAUGCCAUGCUUUGGGACACAACUCUAUCUCAGUAUCAAGAAACAGUGCAAGAUUUUAAAUUUUAUGAAAUUGUAAAUGGCAUUACUUUCAACAAACUGAUGCAGAAGGCAGAGGUAGAAGCCACAGCCAGAAAUCAGCAGC
rnacentral:lncRNA from 1 species